UACGAAGGGGGCUAGCGUUGUUCGGAAUUACUGGGCGUAAAGCGCGCGCAGGCGGUUCUUCAAGUCAGUGGUGAAAGCCCGGAGCUCAACUCCGGAAUUGCCAUUGAAACUGUAGAACUUGAGGAUGAGAGAGGUGAGUGGAAUUCCCAGUGUAGAGGUGAAAUUCGUAGAUAUCAGGAGGAACACCGAUGGCGAAGGCAGGUCUCUGGGCUGACACUGACGCUCAUGCA
rnacentral:rRNA from 1 species